GAAUAUUGCGCAAUGGCCGAAAGGCUGACGCAGCGACGCCGCGUGCGGGAUGACGCCCUUCGGGGUGUAAACCGCUGUUGCCCGGGACGAACGUCGGGAUUUAUCCCGAGUGACGGUACCGGGUGAGGAAGCACCGGCCAAACCCGUGCCAGCAGCCGCGGUAAUACGGGGGGGGCGAGCGUUGUCCGGAAUCACUGGGCGUAAAGGGCGCGUAGGCGGUUCGGCAAGUGUGCGGUGAAAGCCCGGAGCUUAACUCCGGGUCUGCCGUGCAAACUGCCGUGACUAGAGGACUGUAGAGGCAGGUAGAAUUCCGGGUGUAGCGGUGGAAUGCGUAGAGAUCCGGAAGAAUACCGGUGGCGAAGGCGGCCUGCUGGGCAGUCACUGACGCUGAGGCGCGACAGCGUGGGGAGCAAACAGG
rnacentral:rRNA from 1 species